rnacentral:rRNA from 1 species
GACGAACGCUGGCGGCGUGCCUAAUACAUGCAAGUAGGACGCAGGUGCGAACGGGUGAGUAACGCGUAGGUAACUGCCUAUUAGAGGGGGAUAACAAUUGGAAAAGAUAGCUAAUACCGCAUACUAGUAGAUGGAUCUGCGGUGUAUUAGCUAGUAGGUGGGGUAAUGGUCUACCUAGGCAACGAUACAUAGCCGACCUGAGAGGGUGAUCGGCCACACUGGGACUGAGACACGGCCCAGACGCCUACGGGAGGCAGCAGUGGGGAAGAUUGCACAAUGGGCGCAAGCCUGAUGCAGCCAUGCCGCGUGUAUGAAGAAGGCCUUAGGGUUGUAAAGUACUUUCAGCGUGUAGCGUUACCCGCAGAAGAAGCACCGGCUAACUCCGUGCCAGCAGCCGCGGUAAUUC